CCUACGGGAGGCAGCAGUGAGGAAUAUUGGUCAAUGGGCGAGAGCCUGAACCAGCCAAGUCGCGUGAAGGAUGACGGCCCUACGGGUUGUAAACUUCUUUUGUCAGGGAGCAAUUGAGUCCACGUGUGGGCUUAGCGAGAGUACCUGAAGAAAAAGCAUCGGCUAACUCCGUGCCAGCAGCCGCGGUAAUACGUAGGGGGCAAGCGUUGUUCGGAAUGACUGGGCGUAAAGGGUGUGUAGGUGGUUUGAUAAGUUAGAUGUGUAAUACCCAGGGCUUAACUCGGGUGCUGCAUCUAAAACUGUUAGACUUGAGUACUGGAGAGGAUAGUGGAAUUCCUAGUGUAGCGGUGGAAUGCGUAGAUAUUAGGAGGAACAUCAGUGGCGAAGGCGACUAUCUGGACAGCAACUGACACUGAGGCACGAAAGCGUGGGGAGCAAACAGGAUUAGAUACCCCAGUAGUC
rnacentral:rRNA from 1 species